GUGCUGGCAUUAGCUACACAUAUAAUAAGAUUGAAACAACACAGAGAUUAGCCUGACCCCUUGGCUGGAGUGACAUGUAAAUUCAAGAAGCCUUCCAUAUUUAA